UACAGCAGUGGCCCCCACACUUCCUAGUCUACGUUCAGAGGUCUUCAAGCCAUGUGUGGAAGACAAGGACCUGGCCUUUUGUCUAAAUGAGGGAGAGUGCUCCAUUAUUGAAACUGUGGCUGGGGUUCACAGACACUGCAGCGGCCUGCUGCACUAUCCACUUCAACUCUGCAAUCACUCUGCAGCAUCAAGAAACCCCGAAGACUGUGGACUAUAAUUAGUGACAGCUGAAUGACUGCAUAUAGAACUCAGGAAAGACUGGAGCGCAUAACCCAUAGGUACUAUCUGCCAAUUUGUCUUGAGUUGAAUGCCUGUUGUGUGAAAGAAUGAUUACAGGUUUGUGAAUACUUUUGUUGAAAGGUUGUUUCGUUUGCCUGAGAGUCCAGGCAGUAAGUCAGAAAAAUAUAAUAAUUUUACUCAAAAAUCACUGCCAUGUUGAUGCAGUUUAAUGUCAUCGCUGCUAGGUGGAACUCCAGGUGUGCUAGUGAUAUUGAUGAAGUGCUUUUACAGGACAGUAAUCACAAAAUUGCAUUAUUUCGAAGGUAACUUGCCACGAGUAAUGU